rnacentral:rRNA from 1 species
CGGCAACAGCUCAAAUUUGAAAUCUGGCGUCUUCGACGUCCGAGUUGUAAUUUGCAGAGGGCGCUUUGGCAUUGGCAGCGGUCCAAGUUCCUUGGAACAGGACGUCACAGAGGGUGAGAAUCCCGUA